rnacentral:rRNA from 1 species
AUGUAUACAUCUAAACAACCUUUUCUUAAAUCUAAGCAACCCUUUAGUAAAUCCAAGCAAACUUUUCGUAAAUUCAAGCAACCUUUUUGUAAAUCUAAACAACCUUUUCAUAGGCGUCCUCGGAUUGGCCCGGGGAGAUAA